rnacentral:rRNA from 1 species
UUGCNNUGGGCGAAAGCCUGAUGCAGCAACGCCGCGUGCACGAUGAAGGUCUUCGGAUCGUAAAGUGCUUUUCUGGGAGAUGAGAAUGGACAGUAUCCCAGGAAUAAGUCUCGGCUAACUACGUGCCAGCAGCCGCGGUAAAACGUAGGAGGCAAGCGUUAUCCGGAUUCACUGGGCGUAAAGCGCGUGCAGGCGGUUCGGUAAGUUGGGCGUGAAAUCUCCUGGCUUAACUGGGAGAGGCCGUCCAAUACUACCGGACUAGAGAGCAGUAGAGGAAGAUGGAAUUCCCGGUGUAGUGGUGAAAUGCGUAGAUAUCGGGAGGAACACCAGUGGCGAAAGCGGUCUCCUGGGAUGUAACUGACACUGAGGCCCGAAGGCGUGGGUAGCAAACAGGAUUAGAUACCCUGGUAGUCCACGCAGUAAACGAUGGAUACUAGGUAUGGGGAGUAUCGACCCUUUCCGUGCCGAAGCUAACGCUUUAAGUAUCCCGCCUGGGGAGUACGGUCGCAAGACUAAAACUCAAAAGAAUUGACGGA